GCCGCCCGUACCCCAAACCGACACUGGUGGUCAGGUAGAGAAUACCAAAGCGAUCGAGCGAAUCCUGGUCAAGGAACUCGGCAAAUUGCUCCCGUGCCUUCGGCAUAAGGGAGACCCCCUGCGGUGAUGAGCGGCGGGGGGUGGCACAGGCCAGGGGGUAGCGACUGUUUACCAAAAACACAGGAGCGUGCGAAGGCGCAAGCCGCUGUAUACGCUCUGACGCCUGCCCGGUGCCGGAAGGUUAAGAGGAUCCGUCAGCUUUCUGCGAAGCGGUGAAUUCAAGCCCCGGUAAACGGCGGUGGUAACUAUAACCAUCCUAAGGUAGCGAAAUUCCUUGUCGGGUAAGUUCCGACCUGCACGAAUGGCGUAACGACUUCCCCACUGUCUCGACCAGGAGCUCGGCGAAAUUGCAGUACGAGUAAAGAUGCUCGUUAAGCGCAGAAGGACGAAAAGACCCCGGGACCUUUACUAUACCUUGGUAUUGGCAUUAGGCGCGGAUUGUGUAGCAUAGGCGGGAGGCUUCGAGGCGGGUGCGCCAGCAUCCGCGGAGCCGCAAGGUGAAAUACCGCUCUGUUCUCGUUUGAUGUCUAACCUCGAACAGUCAUCCUGUUCAGGGACAGUGCCUGGCGGGUAGUUCAACUGGGGCGGUUGCCUCCCAAAGAGUAACGGAGGCGCUCAAAGGUCCGCUCGGCCCGGUUGGCAAUCGGGUGUCGAGUGUAAUCGCACAAGCGGGCUUGACUGCGAGAUCGACGGAUCGAGCAGGGACGAAAGUCGGAGAUAGUGAUCCGGUGCCGGCGCACGGGCGCGGCAUCGCUCAACGGAUAAAAGGUACCCCGGGGAUAACAGGCUGAUCAUUCCCAAGAGUCCAUAUCGACGGGAUGGUUUGGCACCUCGAUGUCGGCUCGUCGCAUCCUGGGGCUGGAGCAGGUCCCAAGGGUUCGGCUGUUCGCCGAUCAAAGCGGCACGCGAGCUGGGUUCAGAACGUCGUGAGACAGUUUGGUCUCUAUCCUCUGCGCUCGUUGGAAUCUUGAGGAGGCCUGCCCAUAGUACGAGAGGACCUGGGUGGACGAACCUCUGGUAUGCCGGUCGUCACGCCAGUGGCGCGGCCGGUUGGCUACGUUCGGAAGGGAUAACCGCUGAAAGCAUCUAAGCGGGAAGCCUGCUCCAAGAUAAGCAUUCCGUGGAACCUUCGAGUUCCUGUAGUCCCCAUGCAGAACACGUGGUCGAUAGGCCGGACGUGGAAGCCCCGCGAGGGGUGGAGCCGACCGGUACUAAUGGUCGAGAGGCAACCCACA
rnacentral:rRNA from 1 species